rnacentral:SRP_RNA from 1 species
GCCGGGCACGGUGGCUUGUGCCUGUAAUCCAAGCGCCGGGGAGGCUGAGGCUGGUGGACGGCUUGAGCCCGGGGGUUCUGGGCUGCAGCGAGCUGUGCUGAGCGGGCGUCCGCGCUAAGGCCGGCAUCGAUAUGGUGGUCCUGGGGGAGCCGGGGGCCACCAGGUCGCCUAAGGAGGGGUGAACCGGCCCAGGUCGGAG